CUGAGAGUCUCCCCGACAGAUGUCUGGGUGUGGUGUGUGGACAGUGGUGAAGGAAAGAGCUUCCCACGUCUUUGAGAAGACGGAUCAUAGCAACAAAGUAAAACCAUGUCUUCACUGAAUGUUCUAAAAAGAGGCCUCCAAGCUCCUACAAAAAGUGAAGGUUCCUGGUCCUGUUUCUAGCACUAACCAUCCCCUUGCCUGGCCUCCUGUGGGAAGAAUCUUCAUUGAACAACAUUAGAUGCCAAUUUUUGAGCCAAGAGGGGAGAUGAGGCCUGGCUCCAGAUGCAUUGAAUCUGCUGGCCUUCUGCUCUUCCUUCUCACGUCAGUGUGGGUGAGGCACUGUGUGCAUGUCUGCAACAAGGACAUAUGAGCUCAUCACAAGUGCUUGGCUCUGCUACAUCCAUAGACCACAUGGACAUGAGAGGGCAUGGCUGUUCUAGAA
rnacentral:lncRNA from 1 species